CACCGGAGUAAGCGUCAUUGGUUUUUCAGCGGUUGGACGUUGUGUUGCAGCCGCCAUUUUAAGUCUGAAUACGGGUAGUCGUAUUUGUGUCGCUGUUAAGUAAUAAUCACGUUUCCCGUUAAAUUUUUCUUUAAAAGUUUUCCCGAUUGUGGGCUUCACAAGAGCUAAUAAAAAUGCAGUCAAAUCAGAUGAGCCGAAAUUUGAAACAAGUACAAUUGGAGAAUAGUCGCAAUUCUCCGAUGAAAAGAGACUAUGAUACGGCGGAUCUGGAAGGAACCGUGCCUGGUGAAGAAGGUGAACCCCUGACGGUGGACAUCAAGAAUUUUCGCAGGCCAGGGGAGAAGACUUAUACUCAAAGGUGCAGGCUCUUUGUCGGAAAUUUACCGACUGAUAUCACGGAAGAAGAUUUCAAGAAAUUGUUCCAGAAAUAUGGGGAGCCAUCUGAGGUUUUUAUCAACAGGGACCGCGGGUUCGGCUUCAUUCGCUUGGAAACUAGAACAUUGGCUGAAAUAGCAAAAGCUGAACUUGACAGCACAAUGCUGAGGAAUCGACCUCUACGUAUUCGUUUUGCCACUCAUGGAGCAGCUUUGACUGUGAGGAAUCUUUCACCAGUGGUUUCCAAUGAGCUACUAGAGCAGGCUUUUUCUCAAUUUGGUCCAGUAGAAAGAGCAAUAGUUGUUGUUGAUGACCGUGGGAAACCUACAGGAAAAGGUUAUGUGGAAUUUGCAGCAAAGCCUGCUGCUCGCAAGGCUUUGGAAAGAUGCUCAGAUGGAGCAUUUCUAUUAACAUCGACUUCCAAUAUGAUGAACCAGGCGAUAAACUCUCCUCGUCCUGUUAUUGUGGAGCCCAUGGAACAGUUUGAUGAUGAAGAUGGGCUUCCUGAAAAACUACUACAAAAGAACACCCAAUACCACAAGGAAAGAGAGCAGCCGCCACGUUUUGCUCAGCCUGGAACAUUUGAGUUUGAAUAUGCAUCUCGGUGGAAGGCCCUUGAUGAAAUGGAAAAGCAACAACGUGAGCAAGUUGACAGGAAUAUCCGGGAAGCAAAGCAGAAACUUGAAGCAGAAAUGGAAGCUGCUCGCCAUGAGCAUCAGCUUAUGCUCAUGAGACAAGAUUUGAUGAGGCGCCAAGAGGAGUUGAGACGCUUGGAAGAAAUGAGGAAUCAAGAACUACAAAAACGGAAACAGAUAGAAAUGAGGCAUGAGGAAGAACGUCGUCGACGAGAGGAGGAAAUGAUGCGACAGAGAGAGCAGGAUGAGUUGAGAAGGCAGCAAGAAGGGUAUAAGCAAAACUACAUAGACAACAGAGAACAGGAUAUGAGGAUGGGUGAUAUGGGUCCACGUGGAGGAAUUGGCAUGGGAGAUGCGUAUAGCCCGGCUCCUGCUGGCAAUCAAGGCCCUGCUCCACUUAUGGGUAUGAACAUGAACAACCGUGGACCUAUGCCUGGUACUACAAUGGGACCUGUCCCAGCCAUUGGGCCAGAAGGAACUGCAAAUCUGGGAACACCCAUGUUGGGAGACAACAGUGGAACAAUGGUAAUUUCAGUUUAAAGGAUGGAUUGAAUACACAGAUGGUCUAAGCUCAGUAUUUUUAAUACAACCUACUAAAUGUGCCAAAUUCAGAAAUUCCAAAGACUUAAUCGAAUGCAAGUACCAGCUCCAAGGUGACAACUUUCAGACAUGAAGGAUGGAAGGUCACUUCCUUUUAAUAUGGAUACAAGCCACAUGUUUUCAAUAUCAGCAGAUGAAGAUUUUGGCAAUAUUGCUGAAAACUGCAAGGAACUGAGUGGGGCAGGCCACGAACGAGAGACCACCUAAAAGGUGAAAGUCUCCUUCAUAGGAACAGGUUUCUUAUGCUCCAAAUGGAAGGAUCAACAAUGAAGAGUGGAAAAUUUGCAUCAUGAAAGACAGCUCUGAUACGGCAAGUUUACCAGUCUGAGGGGAAAAUUAUCAGAAGGAAAUCAAGGCCUUUGAAGAGAAAGAAGUUAAUAUAAUGCAUAACUUAUUUUUGUUCUGUCAGCUUUUUAUGUUAGUAGCUCCUGUUUUUUUGGCUUAAAGAAACAAAAACUUUGAUUUCCAUAACUGCAAUUGGAUGUCUUAAGUCUCUCCUGUAUUUACAUAGCUUAAAUAUUUUUAAAAUAUAAAAGUGAGCAAUAAAGAUGCAAUUUCCAAAA